UAAACAAAACUAAUUAGUUUAUCAUCAAUUGUUUAUAUUUAAUUAGAAAACGUAGUGUUGCAUUUAAAGAGCGGCCAUUUUGCAGUCUGCGAGACUGGUUGACAAACGUCAAUAUAGAAAAAUGUUUUAUUUUCAAGUUUUUGUAUUAUUUUUGUUGGUACUUUCCGUGCAUUCAGACCAAAUGGAUUUGGACCUGCCAUGUCCAGUUGAUACAUUCUCUCAGGACUAUAGUUCACAGAUCUAUGGCUCCCCCCUACCAGUACUUCCCCCACUAACAAUCACUGUCAAUUACGAUAAAUCUGAGGCCAAUGAUGAAAAGUCUGGUACAAAUGAAAGACGAACAGAAGAGAUGAGAAAAUCAAAUUUAAUACACAACCUCCUACACCUACCCUCCGCUGUAGCAGACUCGUUGACAAGAGGAGUAAAACACAGUUGUAAUUAAAUAAAAUGUUUUAUUUGUAAUAAAAGGUUAAUUUAU